AUUGAACGCUGGCGGCAUGCCUUACACAUGCAAGUCGAACGGCAGCACGGGUGCUUGCACCUGGUGGCGAGUGGCGAACGGGUGAGUAAUACAUCGGAACAUGUCCUGUAGUGGGGGAUAGCCCGGCGAAAGCCGGAUUAAUACCGCAUACGAUCUACGGAUGACAGCGGGGGACCUUCGGGCCUCGCGCUAUAGGGUUGGCCGAUGGCUGAUUAGCUCGUUGGUGGGGUAAAGGCCUACCAAGGCGACGAUCAGUAGCUGGUCUGAGAGGACGACCAGCCACACUGGGACUGAGACACGGCCCAGACUCCUACGGGAGGCAGCAGUGGGGAAUGUUGGACAAUGGGCGAAAGCCUGAUCCAGCAAUGCCGCGUGUGUGAAGAAGGCCUUCGGGUUGUAAAGCACUUUUGUCCGGAAAGAAAUCCUUGGCCCUAAUACGGUCGGGGGAUGACGGUACCGGAAGAAUAAGCACCGGCUAACUACGUG
rnacentral:rRNA from 1 species